rnacentral:rRNA from 1 species
CUGGCUCAGAACGAACGCUGGCGGCAGGCCUAACACAUGCAAGUCGAGCGAGAUCUUCGGAUCUAGCGGCGGACGGGUGAGUAACGCGUGGGAACGUACCCUUUUCUACGGAAUAGCCUCGGGAAACUGGGAGUAAUACCGUAUACGCCCCUUGGGGGAAAGAUUUAUCGGAGAAGGAUCGGCCCGCGUUGGAUUAGGUAGUUGGUGGGGUAAUGGCCUACCAAGCCGACGAUCCAUAGCUGGUUUGAGAGGAUGAUCAGCCACACUGGGACUGAGACACGGCCCAGACUCCUACGGGAGGCAGCAAUAGAGAAUCUUAGACAAUGGGGGCAACCCUGAUCUAGCCUUGCCUCUUAAGUGAUGAAGGCCUUAGGGUUGUAAAGCUCUUUCAGCUGGGAAGAUAAUGACG